UCUCUCUCUCGGUUCUUUUUCUUUAACUGGGUGUGGUUCUUUCAGGCCAAACUUGUGUGAAUGAUGCAGUACUGCAGCCCGGGCUGCGCCCACACCCUUCUUUCAACUUAAAGAGACUCUGAAGGAGGUGGAGCAAACGUGUGUCUGGAGCUCCGCUCGGGCUGGGAUAUGAACUGGGAGACGUCUGAGAGGGCAACAUGUGUUACGCCGCCUGCGUUGUGUGUUGCGUUGCGUGAGUGCGCGUCUGACUGAGUGCAUAUGUGUGCAUGCAUUGUACGCCGCGGGUGUUUGGACCGACUUAGAGGCGCCGUACUGUAAAACGUUCUGACCUGUUGAUUUAUCUUCACUAAAAAGGGCCCGUGAAAGAUCUGUCGGUGUUGAGAAAGGACCGCAGGAAUGAACCAUGGCAGGCAAGACGGUGUGGAGGAGGAGAGCGAGCGCAUGGGGCCGGGUGGGUGGAGCCCGCGCCUUGCAGGAAGGAAACACAGGAAACGUUCUAGCAGGAAAACAAUGUAAUCAUGAACCCUGGGCUCAUUUACUGUCUGGUUGGUAAUAUAGGCAGCAUGUGUGUGUGUGUGUGUGUGUGUGUGUGUGUGUGUGUGUGUGUGUGUGUGUGUGUGCGUGUGCGUGCGUGUCAGAACCAAACCAUACGUUAACGGGCUGCAGAUUUCAUAAUUAAAUCAAUGAAUUGCAUGAGAACAAAAUUCAUUCGAGAAAAGUACAUUGUUUGUAAAAGACAAGGGACUUUCUCUGGCGAACUUCAAGCGGCUGAAUGGGGGACAGCCUCUAGCAAACUUCAACCAGCUCAGCCCCCCUGCGGCUCCAGACAGAGGAGUGAUUCCCCUUGGCGGACUGGCAGUGGUGCAGUCGUUUGGGCUCAACCUCCUGUGCCUACUGAGCUGAUAACAGUUAGAUGUCAAAACAAGCACUGGCUCAGUUCAGCAGGAACCGGAGUUACGCCUUCAAUAAACAGCGAGGACAUAUCCGUCCCCACGCACGAUUAUGCGCUUGUAGUAAAUGUUGCAGUAAACUUUUUUAGUAAAUGUUUCUCUCUGUAUGUGUUAGACUAAACUGUGUUGUUUUAGGUGCCAUGGUUUUUGUUAUUUUAUUUAAAACAUAAAUGUUCAUACUUCCUCUAUGAAUCAUAGGGAGAUUGCAAUCAGCGAGUACAGAGAGCUUUGAUGUUGACCCACACCCACACACAUACACACUGACGCUGAGACCGACACACACACACAGACUCGUGAUGGAGGAAAUUUGCUCCUGUUGGUUGUGUGUUUACUCAAAGAUCACAGGAGCAGAGAUUUUUCCAGAUGCACUUCCCCGAUAGCACAUCAGAUCGCCCUCUGUGGGAGCACAUAAUAAAGCAAGGAAGAAGUGACCCUUCUGACUUUGAGAGCAUUAGGGCUUUUUAAUGCCAGUUUAAUAUUUGUAAAGACGGCCUGAGUCUGUUUUUUUCAGUUAUGUAAGUAACUGCUCCUUUAAAUGUGCAACUCUGACUCUGCUUUUAAGAAAAUACCAUAACUAACACCUAACUAACGUUACACAUCGUUUUUUUAAUAAUGUCCAUACAGUCAACAGUUUGUCUCUUUAUAAUAAAGAUAUUGAUGAAGUGUAACGUUGAUUCAGUAAUCAUUUUGUAUUAAGCGAACAAAUGGGGACUGGGAACGAAUUUCCCCAUCGCGUCAUGUUAUUUACCAUACAUGAAUGCCAAGUCAUAUGCCCCACAACUGUAAAGCGAAAAUAUAGUUUCUAUGUGAAACCAAACACAUUGCAUAUUUCGUUGUAUAUCUUACCUUGGACAAAUAAAGACAAUGUUCUACUCCGUA